ACACCCCGAACUGCUCGACCCGCUAAAAAAAUCCCCUCGUUCGAUCCCCAACCUCCCCCCAGUCCCGUCGCCGCUGCUGCCUAUCCCGCCUCCUACCGGUGCGCCACCACUCCCGCCUCCUUCCGGCGCGCCGUCAUCCCUGCCUCCUACCGGCGCGCCGCCAGACCCUCCUUCUUCCCUGGAGUGCCGCCACCCCGCUACCCCCGCCAUCUCCCACCAUGGGGUAACCCUAGAUGGCCGCCGGCCCGCCGUCGCCGACGUCGCCUCCUUCUCCCUUGGCCCUCAGCCACCCAACGGCAGCUGCAUCACGCCGAUUAGGUCUUACCCCAGGACAGCCACGGGUGUCGUCAUCUCCAGAAGCCUGCCCCCAAAUCGUUGCCACCUGCGCCUCCGAUUCAGCCAACGUCGGUCAUCUCCCUCUUCGUCCUCCACGGGUGUUGCUCUGCCUCGGUCUAUAAUUAACGUCCAUGCCCCAACGCCUUCUCACUGUUCCUCCCCUGAGCGCACCCCGCGGCUAACCCUAGGGACCGAGUCGGGCUUGCCGGCACGGCGCGUCGUGUGCUGUUGGCACCCCACUCCACCUGCUAUGUUGCGCCCCGGUCUCCAACAGCCAUUCCGAGGAACCCAUCUCGCCGCCACCAUCGUCUGCUAUCCUCCAAUAAGUGUGUUGCGGUACGCCGAUGUCCUCCCAUCGGCAAGCUCCGCCCCUGCUGGCAUCGUCCACUCACACCAUGUCCUCCUCUUUGCCAAGCAGCGUUAAGUGGUGAUUAUCAGAAGUCCAAGACCACACUGUAGGCAGGAAAAAGGAAUGUUCUUGUAGGUUGCUCGCGGGUGACUUCUCAGGUGUCACGGCGCUUGCAUUGUAGAUUAGUAGAGGGAAUAUUGAGACGACGAGGAGAGCGACUUAACUGCAGUCCGCACAACACCAUGAACCAGGGUAAAGAGGUCAAUCUUCCAAUACACAAAUUUUGUGGUGUUCACAAAUCUUAGUGAGAGAGGACAUUGACGGUGCGAGAAUGGAACAUAACGAGUUUGUGUGUGUGUGUGCAUUACCGAAACGUUGCACGACAUGUUCUUGAAGUCCGCCCUCUCAUUGAUUGGAACAGGGUGAAAGUUGUGGAAUUUUUGCUGUGACCGCCUGGACUAAGAUGACAGGGCUGACAAAGAUGAAGGCAAGAAGGUUAUAGGGGUGGCCCAGAUAUCAUGGAGAGGCGCCGUGCUCGGCCCAGUGAGGAGCUCCGGGUCAACAUUGUGGCUGCGUGGUGGGCAUGAACCAUGGCGACUGCCUUCCGGCUUUAUUCUCUUGGCUCGUAUAUUUGCCGCUAGCUAUUCUUACAGAAUCAUGAAUUAGACUUAGGAGAAUUGGCAUGUCAUCACAUGAAUUUUUUUAAACUAUGAGGUGCUACAGGUUUUGUCAUCCUUGAACCGGUCUGCCCUCAAACGAACCCCUUAGAUGCAGCCAACACCUUGUAGCCCACACAUUACUCUCUUCAGGUCGCCGUUUUGGACCGUGUAGCGGUGUUGCCCGAGAGCCACGCGACUCCCAUAUCGCCCCUCUAGGAGAGCCAUAUGAGGGUAGAUCUGGGCCCAUGCCCGACGAAGAGGGGUGGCAGAGGGAAGGACUGCUGGUGGUGGCAGUCAUUUGGUGGCGACGACUGGUGAAGCGUGGAAAAGGUCGGGGAGGUGGACCAUUAGGGGAGAUCAGUGACACCGCCGCCGCUUUCUCUCCUUCUCGAGACACCAUCAUUGUGAGCAAAGGAGGCUGUGUUGCUAUCUCUGUUUUGU